rnacentral:misc_RNA from 1 species
CAGAAGUCUAAAGUGGAGAUCUAUACAACUUAUGAAAUGAUCAUUCAGAGCCAACCUUGAGACUUCAAUACUGUGGUGGGGGAUAAACUCCAGGAUAAGGACCUGGAGGAUAGAAGGGUGAGGCUUGUGGAGGUGGUGGGUAGGGACUGGGAGGAUAACCCGAGGGAGGCAGCGGGUACGAUGUGGGAGGAUACCCAGAUGGAUAUGGGGAG